ACGGAGAGAGACCCUAUCUAAUGCUAUGAAAUCCACGCAUUUCCUCUGUGUAAAAUUAUUGAAGGAACUCUUCCCAAGUGUCACAUUAUUGCUCAUAAGCCUCUUUCAAAUUACUCUAAUGAAACAUUGUUUCUUUUGAAACCACCAGCCUCCUCCUUUUGCACAGGCCUAGCAAAAUUGAUCGUUUUCCCCUAAGCAUGCUCUGUGAACUUAACUUUCCAUCUUUUCUGGCUGCCCAGCAAUGUGUCAGCUUGGUCCUGACCGUUGUUAAUGAACUUGAAAACCUAAGCUUUGUGGGAGGUGCCCUGCAAUGCAUUUUCAAGUCUCCGAAGCACGGUUCUCCAGAGACCAUGCCGUGCGUUUGUGUCAGGCACGGUUUGGCAGAGCUGUGGAAAGGUCAGCCUUUGGAGUUGAAGAGACAGAAGGGGUCCAGCUGCUAUCUCCUCUAGCUCUUAAGCAUCAGCUCCUCCACCCAGGAAACCCUGUGCGCUGGCCAGGUGCCGUGAGGGGGAACCAAGGCAACAGGGCCUUCGUGCAUUGGAAAGAAACUAGAUGGGGCCUGUGGGCCACAGCGACUUUCCAGGAACAGAAGUGAGAUUUCGGAAGGUCCGCCGAGGAAGACACUCAUCAGAUUCUGCUGUAUGGAGUUCACAAAGCUUCGCUCUCAGUUGCUACUUCUGGGAGACAAGACAGCGUGCCUCACAGGCUGCUGGCCCCAUGGCCUGCGCAUUCCGCAGGAAACUCCCGGCACCUUUUAUUAAUUGUACGCAUUCCUGAGCUUCCUCCACCCCGAGGUGUGGAUGAUUUCUGUUUAAAAGACAAUUUGCUGUUUUAGCAGCAGUGAAUGGUUAUCAAAUUCCUUACAAUUUCUUUUUUUUUCUUAAACUACAAAUAGCAGCACUGCUUCUGCACACAGAAAUCCUCACUUCCUUGCUGGAUAAAAGUCCUCGAAUGAGGUCCAGGUUGUGAGGCUGCGUGGCAGCUGCUGCCCGGUCCCUGAGCCUCCCCUGGACAGCUCCCGGCCGCUGUCCCAAGAGGAGCUGCACAGCAGUUUCUCUGUUAUGGUAUCAUACCAGCAGCAACACGGUUGCAUCCUUGAUUUCCUCGUCACAGCACACGUACUUCUCCGGAAUAAUCAUGGUGGUUUAAUGAAAACAUCAAGGCAUGAGCUGUUGUCCGCAUCUCUACGAACACGGCUCUCAAGCACUGCAAGACACUCUUGAUUCUCCGCAGGCCUGCAAGACCACUGACCACCCCACUGCACAGCCUCACCCCAGGAAAGGGCACUCUGGCUCUGCUUUGGUGACUUUACUGUAUUCUGAAGGAAGGUGUUCAUUUCACACAGAAGGCCAAUAAAAGAAAUCUCCUUCCAGGAGUGGUGCAGUCCUGUAAUCCCAGCACGUCCAAGGCUGAAGCAGGAGGAUUGCUGAAUUUGAGGCCUACUGGGGCCACAUUGCACAGCCAACCUGAACUACUUCAUGAGAAGUCCCAUCUCAAAGAUGAAACAGAACAACGAUGAUAAAAUGCAAUACAAAAUUAAAGGCAUCACCAAUAGAUGACAGUGUAGACAUCACCCUUACUGAUGUAAACUAGUACUGGUAAUACGAGCAGUUGUUUUGUAAAGCCAGAGAUCACAAUACUCUGAGGGCCUUGACACGGUCACUUUUCUUUAUAUGAUUUCUACUUCAUUUUUUUCUGACUAUUAG
rnacentral:lncRNA from 1 species